rnacentral:rRNA from 3 species
UUAAGCGACUAAGCGUACACGGUGGAUGCCCUGGCAGUCAGAGGCGAUGAAGGACGUGCUAAUCUGCGAUAAGCGUCGGUAAGGUGAUAUGAACCGUUAUAACCGGCGAUUUCCGAAUGGGGAAACCCAGUGUGAUUCGUCACACUAUCAUUAACUGAAUCCAUAGGUUAAUGAGGCGAACCGGGGGAACUGAAACAUCUAAGUACCCCGAGGAAAAGAAAUCAACCGAGAUUCCCCCAGUAGCGGCGAGCGAACGGGGAGCAGCCCAGAGCCUGAAUCAGUGUGUGUGUUAGUGGAAGCGUCUGGAAAGGCGCGCGAUACAGGGUGACAGCCCCGUACACAAAAAUGCACAUGCUGUGAGCUCGAUGAGUAGGGCGGGACACGUGGUAUCCUGUCUGAAUAUGGGGGGACCAUCCUCCAAGGCUAAAUACUCCUGACUGACCGAUAGUGAACCAGUACCGUGAGGGAAAGGCGAAAAGAACCCCGGCGAGGGGAGUGAAAAAGAACCUGAAACCGUGUACGUACAAGCAGUGGGAGCACGCUUAGGCGUGUGACUGCGUACCUUUUGUAUAAUGGGUCAGCGACUUAUAUUCUGUAGCAAGGUUAACCGAAUAGGGGAGCCGAAGGGAAACCGAGUCUUAACUGGGCGUUAAGUUGCAGGGUAUAGACCCGAAACCCGGUGAUCUAGCCAUGGGCAGGUUGAAGGUUGGGUAACACUAACUGGAGGACCGAACCGACUAAUGUUGAAAAAUUAGCGGAUGACUUGUGGCUGGGGGUGAAAGGCCAAUCAAACCGGGAGAUAGCUGGUUCUCCCCGAAAGCUAUUUAGGUAGCGCCUCGUGAAUUCAUCUCCGGGGGUAGAGCACUGUUUCGGCAAGGGGGUCAUCCCGACUUACCAACCCGAUGCAAACUGCGAAUACCGGAGAAUGUUAUCACGGGAGACACACGGCGGGUGCUAACGUCCGUCGUGAAGAGGGAAACAACCCAGACCGCCAGCUAAGGUCCCAAAGUCAUGGUUAAGUGGGAAACGAUGUGGGAAGGCCCAGACAGCCAGGAUGUUGGCUUAGAAGCAGCCAUCAUUUAAAGAAAGCGUAAUAGCUCACUGGUCGAGUCGGCCUGCGCGGAAGAUGUAACGGGGCUAAACCAUGCACCGAAGCUGCGGCAGCGACACUAUGUGUUGUUGGGUAGGGGAGCGUUCUGUAAGCCUGUGAAGGUGUACUGUGAGGUAUGCUGGAGGUAUCAGAAGUGCGAAUGCUGACAUAAGUAACGAUAAAGCGGGUGAAAAGCCCGCUCGCCGGAAGACCAAGGGUUCCUGUCCAACGUUAAUCGGGGCAGGGUGAGUCGACCCCUAAGGCGAGGCCGAAAGGCGUAGUCGAUGGGAAACAGGUUAAUAUUCCUGUACUUGGUGUUACUGCGAAGGGGGGACGGAGAAGGCUAUGUUGGCCGGGCGACGGUUGUCCCGGUUUAAGCGUGUAGGCUGGUUUUCCAGGCAAAUCCGGAAAAUCAAGGCUGAGGCGUGAUGACGAGGCACUACGGUGCUGAAGCAACAAAUGCCCUGCUUCCAGGAAAAGCCUCUAAGCAUCAGGUAACAUCAAAUCGUACCCCAAACCGACACAGGUGGUCAGGUAGAGAAUACCAAGGCGCUUGAGAGAACUCGGGUGAAGGAACUAGGCAAAAUGGUGCCGUAACUUCGGGAGAAGGCACGCUGAUAUGUAGGUGAAGCGACUUGCUCGUGGAGCUGAAAUCAGUCGAAGAUACCAGCUGGCUGCAACUGUUUAUUAAAAACACAGCACUGUGCAAACACGAAAGUGGACGUAUACGGUGUGACGCCUGCCCGGUGCCGGAAGGUUAAUUGAUGGGGUCAGCGCAAGCGAAGCUCUUGAUCGAAGCCCCGGUAAACGGCGGCCGUAACUAUAACGGUCCUAAGGUAGCGAAAUUCCUUGUCGGGUAAGUUCCGACCUGCACGAAUGGCGUAAUGAUGGCCAGGCUGUCUCCACCCGAGACUCAGUGAAAUUGAACUCGCUGUGAAGAUGCAGUGUACCCGCGGCAAGACGGAAAGACCCCGUGAACCUUUACUAUAGCUUGACACUGAACAUUGAGCCUUGAUGUGUAGGAUAGGUGGGAGGCUUUGAAGUGUGGACGCCAGUCUGCAUGGAGCCGACCUUGAAAUACCACCCUUUAAUGUUUGAUGUUCUAACGUUGACCCGUGAUCCGGGUUGCGGACAGUGUCUGGUGGGUAGUUUGACUGGGGCGGUCUCCUCCUAAAGAGUAACGGAGGAGCACGAAGGUUGGCUAAUCCUGGUCGGACAUCAGGAGGUUAGUGCAAUGGCAUAAGCCAGCUUGACUGCGAGCGUGACGGCGCGAGCAGGUGCGAAAGCAGGUCAUAGUGAUCCGGUGGUUCUGAAUGGAAGGGCCAUCGCUCAACGGAUAAAAGGUACUCCGGGGAUAACAGGCUGAUACCGCCCAAGAGUUCAUAUCGACGGCGGUGUUUGGCACCUCGAUGUCGGCUCAUCACAUCCUGGGGCUGAAGUAGGUCCCAAGGGUAUGGCUGUUCGCCAUUUAAAGUGGUACGCGAGCUGGGUUUAGAACGUCGUGAGACAGUUCGGUCCCUAUCUGCCGUGGGCGCUGGAGAACUGAGGGGGGCUGCUCCUAGUACGAGAGGACCGGAGUGGACGCAUCACUGGUGUUCGGGUUGUCAUGCCAAUGGCACUGCCCGGUAGCUAAAUGCGGAAGAGAUAAGUGCUGAAAGCAUCUAAGCACGAAACUUGCCCCGAGAUGAGUUCUCCCUGACUCCUUGAGAGUCCUGAAGGAACGUUGAAGACGACGACGUUGAUAGGCCGGGUGUGUAAGCGCAGCGAUGCGUUGAGCUAACCGGUACUAAUGAACCGUGAGGCUUAACCUU